UACGUAGGGUGCAAGCGUUGUCCGGAAUUAUUGGGCGUAAAGAGCUCGUAGGCGGUUUGUCGCGUCUGCUGUGAAAACCCGAGGCUCAACCUCGGGCCUGCAGUGGGUACGGGCAGACUAGAGUGCGGUAGGGGAGAUUGGAAUCCUGGUGUAGCGGUGGAAUGCGCAGAUAGUCAGGAGGAACACCGGUGGCGAAGGCGGGUCUCUGGGCCGAUAUUGACGCUGAGGAGCGAAAGCGUGGGGAGCGAACAGG
rnacentral:rRNA from 1 species